AACGAACGCUGGCGGCAGGCCUAACACAUGCAAGUCGAACGAAGUCUUCGGACUUAGUGGCGCACGGGUGAGUAACACGUGGGAAUAUACCUUACGCUGGGGGAUAACAUCGGGAAACUGAUGCUAAUACCGCAUACGCCCUUCGGGGGAAAGAUUUAUCGGCGAAAGAUUAGCCCGCGUGCGAUUAGCUAGUUGGUGAGGUAAUGGCCCACCAAGGCUCCGAUCGGUAGCUGGUCUGAGAGGAUGACCAGCCACACUGGGACUGAGACACGGCCCAGACUCCUACGGGAAGCAGCAGUGGGGAAUAUUGGACAAUGGGCGCAAGCCUGAUCCAGCCAUGCCGCGUGAGUGAUGAAGGCCUUAGGGUUGUAAAGCUCUUUCACCCACGACGAUGAUGACGGUAGUGGGAGAAGAAGCCCCGGCUAACUUCGUG
rnacentral:rRNA from 1 species